CGGGUAAUAGAGGAGUCUGGUUUAUCUCGCUGCAUUUGGGAUGCAGAGCACGCAGGUUCGAAUCCUGCUUAUCCGA
rnacentral:tRNA from 5 species